rnacentral:lncRNA from 1 species
UAGGGAUAGCAAGCCAGUAGUUAAUAUUAGGCCCUUUUCGCCAAGGGAUCGGGUUAAGGGGAGGCUAAGAAAGUCGCAUAACAAUUGAAUCAAUCUAAUAAUCAAGGGUAGUAUGUAAGAGAGAGUGGAAUAGAUGAAAUUGUUAGUACCCAACAACAUCCAUCCAUCCAUUGUUUUCACUUGUCAAUUGAAUCAACAUUUAUUUUGCAUGUUAAUAUUUUUGCUCUCAAACCCAAUUUAUAAAUUUUAAAUUUCUCAAGUCUUAUUAUUUUAAUUCACGCGAACGAGGAAGCCAUACGAGUCUCUUGGGAAAACGAUACUUGGUCUUACCAUUUAUAUUACUUGUACGAUUUGGUACACUUGCCAAUCCGUCAACAAAGAUCAUAUUUCUUCCCAAGGGUUUUGUUAGAGGAUCUGCUAGAUUCC